rnacentral:rRNA from 1 species
GAUGAACGCUGGCGGCGUGCCUAAUACAUGCAAGUCGAGCGAACAGACGAGGAGCUUGCUCCUCUGACGUUAGCGGCGGACGGGUGAGUAACACGUGGAUAACCUACCUAUAAGACUGGGAUAACUUCGGGAAACCGGAGCUAAUACCGGAUAAUAUAUUGAACCGCAUGGUUCAAUAGUGAAAGACGGUUUUGCUGUCACUUAUAGAUGGAUCCGCGCCGCAUUAGCUAGUUGGUAAGGUAACGGCUUACCAAGGCAACGAUGCGUAGCCGACCUGAGAGGGUGAUCGGCCACACUGGAACUGAGACACGGUCCAGACUCCUACGGGAGGCAGCAGUAGGGAAUCUUCGGCAAUGGGCGAAAGCUUGACGGAGCAACGCCGCGUGAGUGAUGAAGGUCUUCGGAUCGUAAAACUCUGUUAUUGGGGAAGAACAAAUGUGUAAGUAACUAUGCACGUCUUGACGGUACCUAAUCAGAAAGCCACGGCUAACUACGUG